GGUUCCAUAGUGGAGCGGUGAGCUCAUCUGCUUUACACGCAGAAGGUCCUGGGUUUGCGCCCCAGCAGAGCCA
rnacentral:tRNA from 1 species